rnacentral:lncRNA from 1 species
UGACAUGUUUACCCAGCUGUGCACUCCCAUAUAUGACAUUACAAGGAGCUAUGAAUACUUUGUCAUCAUAAAGAAAUGAAACUAUUUAUAUGUGAACAGACUUUUAUUGGUAUAGUCAAAUAGUUAGAUAAAACUCACUGGACCCAAAAUUGAAGCAAUAAACAGAAACCCAGCUAGCCAUGCCUUUGAAGCUACAGUGGAUAGAAGCAUGGCUCUGGAAUGACUGCUGACUCAAGUGAAAUCUCUGUACAUCACACCAAAUCAUUAAGCGCCAUCUAAUUUAUUUUGGCAGUUGAUGUGUAGAAGGUAUUGUGAAAACAUCCACAAAGCAGGAGUCCCUUAGCAAACUUAAGUGUAAAGCCCAUGGAAUGUUUGAAAAUUGCAUACUGAAAAGAAAUAACCUAACUUCUUUGAGGGCAAUACUGUCUAGUGUUUGUUAAAACCACAGACAUUAUGUAUGUCUCAUUGACUAACUAGAUGAUAAAGCCAAUACUG